rnacentral:rRNA from 1 species
ACUCAGACAAACGUAAGGGUAUAUGGUGAAUGCCUUGACACGAAAAGCCGAAGAAGGACGUUGCAGUCUGCGAUAAGCCUCGGGGAGGUGACAAGCUACCUUUGAUCCGGGGAUUUCCGAAUGGGUAAACCCAAACUAUGUUCGCAUAGUUUAUCCUGCCUUUGGCAGGAAGGGCACUCGGCGAAGUGAAACAUCUCAGUAGCCGAAGGAAAAGAAAAAAAUGCCUUGCUUUGCAAGGUGCAUUUCCUCAGUAGCGGCGAGCGAACGGGAAAGAGUCCAAACCGCAAAUUUAUUUGCGGGGUAGUAGGUAUUACAUUUAUACGUUUAUAGUAUUGGUUAGUCGAAGGCUUCUGGAAAGAACUACCAUAGAGGGUAAUAGUCCCGUAGGCGAAAACCUAUUAUAAACAUCGUAAUAUUCUGGAGUACUACGAGUUAAGUGGAAUCUCGUAGGAAGCUGGGAGAACUACUCUCCCAAGACUAAAUACUUUUCGUGAUCGAUAGUGAACUAGUACCGUGAGGGAAAGGUGAAAAGUAUCCCGAGAGGGAGUUGAAAUAGUAUCUGAAACCAUAUACUUACAAGGAGUGGGAGCCUCUUUAUGGGGUGACCGCGUGCUUUUUGCAGAACGAACCAACGAGUUACUAUUAGAAGCAAGGUUAACCUUUUUAUUAGGGAAGCCGCAGUGAAAGCGAGCGUUAAUCCGCGUUUAGUUUCUAGUAGUAGACCCGAAACCAGGUGAGCUAUCCAUGGCCAGGUUGAAUCUUUCCGAAAGGAAAGAAGAGGACCGAACCCACUAGUCGUUCAACUCUAGGGGAUGAGCUGUGGAUAGGGGUGAAAAGCCAAUCGAACCUGGUAAUAGCUGGUUCUCCUCGAAAUAGCUCUAGGGCUAGCCUUCUUGAUUUCUUCUGGGGGUAGAGCACUGGAUGGAUGUGGAUGGUUUAUACCUACCGCGUCUAACCAAACUCCGAAUACCAGAAGUUUAACAAGGGGAGUUAGAACAUGGGGGCUAAGCUUCAUGUUCAAAAGGGAAACAGCCCAGAUCGUAAUUUAAGGUCCCUAAGUGUAAGCUAAGUGUUAGGAAAGAAGUGAAACGACUCAGACAGCUAGGAUGUUGGCUUAGAAGCAGCCAUUCAUUGAAAGAGUGCGUAACAGCUCACUAGUUAAGUUGUUUUGCGCUGAAAAUAUAGCGGGACUAAGCUUACCACCGAAGAUACGGGCCACAUUGUGGCGGUAGAGGAGUGUUCUAUGGGCACCGAAGCUCGAUUGUGAAGUCGGGUGGAGCGCAUAGAAGUAAGAAUGUUGGUAUGAGUAACAAUAAUCCCGGUGAGAACCCGGGACACCGAUAGUCUAAGGUUUCCUAGGCAAUGACGAUCAACCUAGGGUUAGUCGGGCCUAAGCCGAAGCCGAAGGGCGUAGGCGAUGGACAGCAGGUUAAUAUUCCUGCGCUUUUGUAAAUGUUCCUCUAAGAUGACGCAGUGUGGUAGGUAAGGUGUGUUUUGGUUAUAUACAUUUGCUCUGUGAAAGCAGAGUGAGCAGGAUGCGGUUCGCCAAAUCCAAUCUUACUGACCCUUAUUGACCAGAAAAGUUUUAGAAUUAAGUUUACAAAAUCCGUACCGUAAACCAACACAGGUGGACAAGUGUAAGAGUACUAAGGUGUACGGAAUAACCUUUGCUAAGGAACUCGGCAAAACAAUGGGUGUAACUUCGGGAUAAACCCUCCCCGCUCCUUCUAGGUAUUAAAAUUUCAUUUAUUUGAAUUAAUGCUUGGAAGGAGCGGGGCGCAGUGAAAGACUCCGGGCGACUGUUUACCAAAAACAUAGGUCCCUGCUAACUCGCAAGAGGAUGUAUAGGGGCUGACGCCUGGCCAGUAUCAGAACGUUAAGGUGAUCUGUGCAAGCAGAGACCCUAAGCGCUGAUGAACGCCGGCCGUAACUAUAACGGUCCUAAGGUAGCGAAGUUCCUUGUCGGAUAAAUACCGACCCGCAUGAAUGGCGUAACGACUUGGAGACUGUCUUCAGCAAAGGAUCCGGUGAAAUUACAUUGGCGGUAAAGAUGCCGUCGACUUGUGGCAAGACGGAAAGACCCCGUGAAGCUUUACUACAACUUGACAUUGAUUUGAGAUUUAGUUUGUUCAGUAUAGAUGGGAGCCUUCGGGCACCAGUGAGAUACCAUCCUUACUGAGUUUUAAGUCUAACUGCAGUUUAUCUGCAAAACAGUGUCUGGUGGGUAGUUUGACUGGGGUGGUCGCCUCCUAAAAUGUAACGGAGGCGUUUACAAAGGUAGGCUAGUCCCGGAUGGAAAUCGGGAUGAUAGUGCAAAAGCAUAAGCCUGCUUUACUGGAAGGGAUACAACCCGACCAGUUACGAAAGUAGAAUUUAGUGAUCCGACCGUAGCUCGUAGGAGCGCGGAAGCUCAGCGGAUAAAAGUUACUCCGGGGAUAACAGGCUAAUAGCGCCCAAUAGUUCACAUAGACGGCGCUGUUUGGCACCUCGAUGUCGGCUCGUCGCAUCCUGGGGCUGGAGAAGGUCCCAAGGGUUUGGCUGUUCGCCAAUUAAAGCGGUACGCGAGCUGGGUUCAAACCGUCGUGAGACAGGUUGGUCCCUAUCUGCCACAAGCGUGGAGACUUGAGAAGAUUUGCCCCUAGUACGAGAGGACCGGGGUGGAUAAGCCUCUAGUGUACCAGUUGUCGCACCCGCGGCAAGGCUGGGUAGCUACGCUUAGCAUGGAUAAGCGCUGAAAGCAUAUAAGCGCGAAGCCAGCUUCAAGAUUAGGUCUCAAUAUAGACUUCCUGGAGAUUACAGGAUAUAUAGGCUGUAGGUGCAAGUCCCGCGAGGGAUUAAGCCGAGCAGUACUAAUCAGUCAAUUUGUUUGAGUAU